rnacentral:lncRNA from 10 species
UCAGGGCUGAUAUGAGACAACGUGCAUGAAAGGUCACUACGUGGGCAACGCUGAUAUUAUGAUGCAGGCAGAUCUCCCCAAGAAGGGCCCGAGCCCCUGGGCGUAGAAGGCUUUUGCGGAGGGACACAGAUUAUGGACUGAGGUGGGCAACAUGCUCAGGAGGAGCAUGUUGGAGGAGGAGGAGUAAACUCAGACAGCACUGAGACGUGGGAAAAGAGAAGCUCAGGAAGAAGAGGCCGUGUGCUAGCCCCAUGGCGAUGGCCAAAGAAUCAAAGA